AGGACGAACGCUGGCGGCGUGCUUAACACAUGCAAGUCGAGCGAGGCCCCUCCUUCGGGAGGGUGUCCUAGCGGCGAACGGGUGAGUAACACGUGGGCAACCUGCCCUCAGCUCUGGGAUAACCCCGGGAAACCGGGGCUAAUACCGAAUACGACCUCCACGGGCAUCUGCGGAGGUGGAAAGGUUUUCCGGCUGAGGAUGGGCCCGCGGCCUAUCAGCUAGUUGGUGGGGUGAUGGCCCACCAAGGCGACGACGGGUA
rnacentral:rRNA from 1 species